UUACAGAGUCCACCACAUGCCGCCAUCAGAGCUGGUACCACUUCUUGUCUUUGUACUUCACCAUCAUCUGAGGGGAACAACAAAAACCAAGUCGGGGCUGCCUCUACUGCACCUGUGACGUUUGCCGCCUGCCGUGCAAUGCCAGUGCGCACUGGGCAUCAAAAGCGCAGCUAGAAGCAAAACAAUGUCACAAAAAAGGACAUAUCCUUCAGGUGCAGAAAAAAGGAAGAAGAAGAAAGUGGAAGAGGAGAAAAAAUGCCAUGAUAAAGGUAUGUUUGCAUGACUUGGUAAUAAAAAGUUUAUCAAAGAGAUUUGUAGCUGUAAUUAGCUUUAGCUAGGUGACGUUAGCUAGCUAGCGCGGUGCUAGCAAUAUGUUUUUAGCAUCAGGUUACUCUUGAGAUAUGUUGUUUGCACAAAUUGUUUGCAGCAGAGCACGGUAAUUUAUGUGAGUAAAAUAAACAUUAUUUUUUACAUCAACUCAUAAGUUAUGUGAAACUUCCCCAGGAGCAUUGUUAAAAUACUUUGGAGGCACAGAAUCAGCCCAGAGCCAGUCCACAUCCUCAGGCUCAACUGUGAGUGAUGAAUCAGUGCUUUCUCACACACCUCCAUCCUCUGUGCCCACUGUCCCCUCCAUGUCUGAAACCACAGCUGAUUUAUCUACAACUUCCACCACAAGGUCCCCUUCACACCAUGG